UAUCCCUAGUCCUCGAGUAUAAAAUCUAAUCCUCUUUAAGAGCUCUACCAAUGUCUGUGUAGUUAGCCAAGUAGCAGGGCAUUCGAGUUUCUUGCAAACCUUGUCUAGUAUAAUCCUCAGCGGUGGUGAUAGGAUCAUCGUGGUGUUAGCAGCUAGAUUUUGUUAGAGAGCUAGUAGGAAGCAAUGGGACCAGGAGGACCAGGAGGAGGAGGAGGAGGAGGAGGACCCGGAGGUGGACCAGGAUGGGGUCCGGGACCAGGAGGACCUGGUUUUUUCGGUGGCUUUUGUGACGUCAUAGGUUCUUGGUAUGCUAUAAAACUUUGUUUCUGUCAUAAUUAACUUCGAGACUGAAAUUGCAAGAUUUACAAGCUGUUAAGCUGAUUUUUUUUUGUUGCUUUUCACCAUUUUUUCCUUAAACCUCUCCAGAAUUUAGCAGUUAAUCGUUCUCCUUUUGUUUAAAAAAACCCUGCCAAAAAUAUCCCAUUUCUAGCGCUCGUAUUUCUUUUCUUUUUUUUCUCCAAGAAAUUCUAGACUGUUUUAAGCCCUAAACGGCUGGUUUUAAAUUCUUCUUCCCCCCCUCCCUGUAGCAUCAUGUUAAAACAGUAUUGUAGUUUCCUCAUAGUUUUAUGCAGAAAACUUAUUUAGCAUUAUCUUGAGAAUUAAACCUUGUUUUGCUGUUCUCUAAUGUUUGAUUUCUGUGUGCUUGGCAGCUUGAGCUGCCUGUGCUGUUGCUGGCUAAUACGAGACUGCUUUGGGGGUCCAGGUGGACCACCUGGACGAUGAUUAGCUGCAACAAAUGUUUCCAUCUUCUUACAUUAGGGUUUCCUAUCCCAUGCUCGAAUCCUUUAAUAUAGGGAUCUACCCUCUGUUAUGGGGUUUCUAUCCUAUUCUCCAGCCCUUUUCUACUGGAAAUUCUUCUAUUUUUAUCUUUGUUCGCAUGUAUUUCAUCUUUGUCUUGUACUACAGACGUGCAAUGUUAUCUAUUUCUUCAUAAUCUUUUUUUUUAGUAAUCAAGAAUUGCAUUAAAAAAUAGCUAUUUACGUAAUGGCAAAAAAACUGGAAUUUAAUACAAAAAGGAUGAACCAAGGAAAAAAAACAAGUAAAAAAAUAAUGAAAUUGACUUCUAGCAUGGUUCAGCCAGCCUAAACAACCCGACAAUAAAAGUCAUUAUCCAAAAGCCGAAGAAAAGAUCCAGCUGAAGAAAACAUCCAAAAAUAAAAGUCAUUCAUCCAAAAGCCAAAACCCACAAGAAAUGAUCGCCUAAAUUACACAAUUGUUAACAUGCUGCUGUUAGAUGAAAAGCGAAUACCAUUGCGAUUCUAGCUAGAUAUCUGUAUAUUGUUGAAGGUUGUGUUGUUAGAGCACAUCUGUAGCAAUUGAGCUGUCAUGAAACACUGGCAACGUUUCUAUGUUUCAUCCUUCAUAUCAAAAGACUAAAAAAGAAAAACGAAAAAAUCUUCAUGAUUUCAUCGAUCUAUCAACAACACGGGUGUUUCUCUAUGAUAUUGAUGAGAAGAGAAAUAAGAGGGGGGGGGGGAAUGUUAGUAAGGGACUUGAAUUUUUAUGUUAAUAAGUUGGAAAAUGUAUUCUUAUCAGUCCCCUGGAUGUAUUUUCGUCUUCCUCGGAAGAUGAACAAACAAAAGAAACCACAGUCUGCUCACCUGUAUUUAAUUUUGCGUUCUUGAGCAAAUCUAUGAUCUUUAAAUUCAGUUGCCGUUCACAAUCUCCUUUUAAAAAAAAAAAAAAAUUGCCAGGCGUAUAGCUAUUUGGUGCUUUUUUAUUUAUGGCCACAGCUUGAUGUUGUGGGAUCAACGGAUAAGUUCUUGUCGGCAGCCCAUGCAAGUAGAUCUACAUCCACCAAGCUGAACCUUUUGUUUUUUAGUUACCAAGCUGAACUUGAUUCCUGGUACAGGUGGCGGUGCAUGCUUGCCGCCACGGCCACUGCCAUUGGUACAGGUGGCGGUGCAUGCUUGCCGCCACUGCCACUGCCAUUGCACUAAUGCAAUGAAUUGGUUUUGACAUGGUUUCAGAGGAUUUUUUGGGGAUUUGGCUUGGCCUUGUAGUGACAUGGAGCAACCAAAGACUGCCACCUCUCUCUUAUGAUCAAAUCAAAUUGGACUUUUUGACUGAAGAUAUUAGUUAGCCUUGAAUGGUAGCUUAGAAUGUCAGGUCAACCGUGAAAAUUUGAUCCAAAUAUCAGGUUGAAGGGUAGCAUUUGUGAAAAUAGUGAAAUGGUAGACAGAUGCUUCCACCCUAAGCAAAGUAUACAUAUUCCUAUAAGUACAAAAUCUAAUCCUCUUUAAGAGCUUUACCAAUGUAUUUGUAGUUAGCCAAGUAGCAGGCAUUCGAGUUUCUUGCAAACCUUGUCUAGUAUAAUCUUCAGCGGUGGUGAUAGGAUCGUCGUGGUGUUAGCAGCUAGAUUUUGUUAGAGAGCUAGGAGGAAGCAAUGGGACCAGGAGGAGGAGGAGGAGGAGGAUGGGGUCCGGGAGGUGGAGGAGGAGGACCCGGAGGAGGAGGAGGAUGGGGUCCGGGAGGAGGAGGAGGAGGACCCGGAGGAGGAGGAGGAUGGGGUCCGGGAGGAGGAGGAGGAGGACCCGGAGGAGGAGGAGGAUGGGGUCCUGGAGGAGGAGGAGGAGGAUGGGGUCCGGGAGGAGGAGGAGGAUGGGGUCCGGGAGGAGGAGGAGGAUGGGGUCCGGGAGGAGGAGGAGGAGGAUGGGGUCCGGGACUAGGAGGGCCUGGUUUUUUCGGUGGCUUCUGUGACAUGAU
rnacentral:lncRNA from 1 species